rnacentral:lncRNA from 1 species
AGAAUAGGAAGUUGUUUAUUAUUAUUAUCAUACCGCGGUCUUAACGAGCUCAUCAGCAUAGGAACCAGCUCUGAUUGUGAGGCCUGAUGGGGUGGUGGGGUUGCAUCUCACAACUGAUGCAGCAGAAGGUUGGCGAAGUGUUUGUCCCUUCACCCACUCAGACUUGUCAAGAACAAGUGAAGACUUGAGAAGAGAUGCUGAUGCAGAGGCCAUUGUUCACUGCAGGUGUUAGGCACUUAGCACUACUUCAAUAUCUUAUCUCCUACAGCAACCUUUGUAGUUGUAUGCACCUCUUUACUACACAUUCACAGCUUUCACUUCAUUUAUAGUUCUCAAGUGAUGUCUCGUUUGAGGCUGCUGUGAGCUAACCUAUCCUCACUUGACAUGUGGACGAUGAUAACUUCAGCCUUCUUCCUUCCUUCCCAUUCUCCUUUGCCAUUUAUUUCGUGGUUCAAAUGGAUGGAUUUUUUCAAGCCUCGUAAAAAUUACUUGGAAAAUAGAAAAAAAUAAAACAGAGAUAUUUUUUUUCCCAAGUCGUGACAAAUGUAUUACAUGCACCAAAAAGGGUACCAAUUAUUGUUGUCUGUAGAGGGAAGGAAACGAUCAAAGAAGUAUGAGGUUAUAAUUUACAUUGCUGAUUAACUGUUUUGUCUCCUUGUUACUGAUUUAUGGUCUUGGUUCAAUGAUAAGAUGUUGUCAAAAGUGGAUGAACAAUCAGUAUGACCAAUUUAUUCAGAGGGUACUUUAAGCUUCCUUGUUAAAUUCUAUUUAGCGUAUUAUUUAUGUUUCGUAUUUCUUAACAGUGUAAUACAUUGAUCUUUCCCUUUCUCAUGAAUUUAUGAGAAUACCAUGAUAUAGGAAUCAAAUUAAAUUGAUUGAAUAACACCUGCUGUUGCUUGAAUUUUGCAUCCACUAAGUGGGAUAUUAAGCACACGCUUUAUGUUUUGUGCAGCUCAACCUAUCACCUAUAAUAUGAAGCGAAACUGGAUCUAGGAACCGUUGAAAGAAAAAAUUAAUCAGGGUCAUCUAUAGUUUUGACUUUUGAUGCAUUCACAUUGUGCUUGAGAAGGAGACUAGGGUCAUCUGUUACUUCAUUGAUUUGUUUCAUUUUGUCUUUCAAAUGAUGAGCAUUCCCAAUUGCCUUAUAAAUCUUGAUGUCACCCAUUUAGAGAAGAAUGUUGUUAACUAGUGCCCUAAUGAUAUUAAUUAAAAAAUUACAAAUAGAAAGUUUUUAUUGGCAUUUAUAUUAGAAAUGCAUUGGAAAUCAUAACAAAUAUGCAUUGAUGAUUUUUUUUUAAUGAAAAUUUCUCAUUUUUUACUGCUUAUCGGCACUUGUUACCAUUUGUCUUUAGAGAAAUAAAUAAUCGGUCAAAAUUGAACUUACAAAUUUACAAUCCUUACAAGUCAACGCAUCUAUAACUUACUUUACACUAAUAUCAGAACUACUUUUGUUUCACAUGUCUUUUCCUGUACUUCCAUAACUCAUCCUUUUUUCUCUUCGGUUUCACAACGCCCAUCUUAUUUCUAACUACACCAAUCAUGGAUCUCCUAUCCUUUCUGUUUUUAAUUGCAGCUUUAGCAUCCAGAACUGCCCGAAGCUUCUGGUAUGAAUCGACAUCCAUCACCUGCCCACUCUUGACCAUCUCCUGGUGAUAAAAAAAUGCCUGGCUAAAAUCUCGAACACGGAGAAAUGCAUAUAUCAUAGUUGAAUAAGUUACAGAAUCUGGCUUCAAGUUAUGAGCUGCCAUCUCUUCCAACAACUCUGGCAGCUUUGAGUGUCGCCCUCCUCGUGCAUAUGCAUUCAUCAGCAUAUUGUAUGUCAUCACUGUUGGGUGCAAUCCAACAUUUGCAAAUUUAGAUAUUACAUCUCUUGCUUCCUUGUAGUAACCAUGUUUAGCAAAACCAUCAACAAGAGUGUUGAAUGUGACACGUGUUCCUUCAACUUUUUCCCUCCUCAUCAACUUCCAUAUUUUCAUCAAUGUUUGGGUGUCACCGGCACGUCUAAAUGCAUCUAGUAAAGCAGUGUAGGUUUCUAUGGAAGGUUUAAUGCCUUCCCUUUGCAUGUUUUCAAAUGCUGCAUAAGCUUUCUCAUGCCAGCCACUAACUGAAUAUGCAUGGAUCAGAGCUGUAUAAGAAUGUGAAGUGGGUUUAAUACCGUCUUUCUUCAUCUUCAAGAAUGCAUCUGCAGCCAUGUCACUCAUAUUUUUCUGCUUCCCAUAUGCACUGAUUAUACAAGUAUAUGAUUUGGCAUUUGGCUUCAAGCCAGUUUCCUGCAUUUCAGCCAUCAGCUUCUCUACAAUCUCAGGUUGCAUUUUUCUGCUGUAUGCAUACAUUAGAAUGUUGAAUGUAGCUUCAGUGGGCUUAAUCCCUUUAGUUUUCAUCUCAACAAAGAGGCCUUCAGCUUCUUCUACACGGUUGGAUUUACAAUAUGCAUCCAUCAGGGUGUUGUACACAAUUGUAUUUGAAGAAACCCCUUUCUUCUCCAGUUCAGAUAGGAUGAUGAGAGCUUCACUCAUCAAACCCUCAACACAAAAUGACUUUAUUAGUGCACCUAGGACUUCUUCACCCCAUUUGACUCCUUUUCCAUUCAUUUUCUCAAAAAAUUGCCAUGCAUCCUUUGCACUAUGGCCAAGUUUUCUCAUAACGAUAACCAUAAUAGAACAUGUCACAUGAUCUGGAAGAACAUUAUCUGCUUCCAUUGACUCAUACACCUUCCAAGCAUCUUCAUACCUAAAACAAUGAGGUAGACUUCAACAAUAAACUCUUAAAAUAUGUGGUAUAUCAGGAGAGGGGGCGGGGGGUGGGAUGCUGCCCUAAAACAUUUGUCAGAGUAGGGAGAGAUGAAAUAUCUUUUGUUUUUCAACACUGUUUGCUAUACAAGAAUUAAAUAUGUUAAUUUCACAGUUUUUAAGUUUGGAAGCAGCACAGGGAACCAAUACAGCUGAGGUAACUUGAAAUAUCUUAAUUCUCUGACAAGUAGCCAAGGAAAUUUCAUAGAUUGUAUAGUUGUUCAUAGGCUUCUUAAUAACAAACUAACCAAGAAACCUAGUACAAAACAAGCCCAAGAGGUUAAAUAAAGGACUCCAUCCAUCUGCCAUAAUGGAAAAACUGAACUAGCAUGAAAAGACUUCAUGGCAAAACUGAUGUACGUACUAGUACACUUAAUGUUCAUGUCAUAACAUUGUCUGGUUUAAUGUCAACAUUGAUCAGAAUUCUCGGUAAAAGAUGAUGCAAUAUGUCAUUUCCAGUGUUUUAGACAUAUACUAAUUAAGAAUGGGCAUGCUUUAUACCACUGCUUGGAUAACAAGCCUAUAGGCUAUAGCACAUUGGUCAUUUCUUUACUUUCCAUGAUAAUUAGAAGAAUUAUAACAGUGAAACAAGUGAACUAGUGUAUUAUUUAAUUAAAUGUGUAACAUUCUAUUCCUAUCUAAGCAAAAGUAACAAACUACUACUUGACUUGCAUUUUAAGCAGCUGAGAGAAAAAAAGCAAAGCACCACACAUGAUUUUGCAAGAAUAUAUUUUACCUGGCACUAGAAAGAAGGCCUGAAAUUGCAGCAUUAUAAACAUGAGAAUCUCUAAACUCCCUGCUAGAUGGCAAGUUUGUGAACAAAACCAUCAACUUAUCACCCAUCUUUGCUUUCCCCAACAAAGGAAACAACACAGUGCAAGCCCGAGGAGUAACAAGUGACGGUUCCUGCGACCUCAUCCACUGAAAGAAAUACAAACAACACACCAGAAGUUGCUCAUCCCCAAGUAAUUUCAAAACCUCCCAACACUCUUUCUCACUAACCCUUCUUCCUUCAUACUCAGCCAAAGCCUCCUCCAGAGUUAGAUUUUGUGGCAAGUUCCUUGCAAGCUGAACAAUCUCUCCCACAAUGCCCUCAGGCAAAGGCAAAGCCUUCUUCUGAAACACCGUUUUUUCCUUCUCUUCAAUCAAACCCAUUUCAGGUUCUUCUUCUUCUUCAAUAAGGUCAGAAGCAAGGUGCCAUGAAAUGCGACGGUUCUUCUGAAGGGACAAUUUUCCUUCUUUUCCAGGGUCUUGGGAAGAAAACCGAGUGCGGGUUUUGAAGAAUUUGUAGAUUGGAUCAUCUGGGUCAUACUCUUGUUCUUCUACUAUUGUUUCUAUGCCCUCUCCUUGUUCAUGAUUUUCUGGUUCUAGUUGUCGGAGAUAUGGGAGGAAAAUGGGGGUGUUGGAUGGUGAUGCACAAAGACAUAGGGUUUUGGAGACUGAGAAGGUUGAGGUUUUGGAGUGUGUGAGAGAGAAAGGUUUUGAAAGUGUAUGAAAGUGAAUUUGGUGUGAAAUGAAAGGGUGAUGAAAGUAAGAAGAAGGUGUGAGGUUGAGAGCCAUGGUUGGCUUGGUUUUGCAAGUUCAAGUGCAAAGGUUAUCUUGUUCUUUAACGUCGUUUUUGACCCGGUGGGUUUUGAGACCCGGACCGGUUCACUUAUUAUUACUUAUUAGUAUUUAGUAUCAUUUUUUAUUAAAACAACGUCGUUUUUGGCUAAAGGGACGCGGAUUCGAAACACCAGUCUCAUCCUUCAACCCUAGUACCGUGGAGCCACCCUUUGUCCACCGUGGUCGUCGUUGAAGGAGGUCGUCAACCGCAAGUUGCAGCCGCACCAGGUUGGCCUCACCACUGAGAGAAACAAAUUUAAUUGUUAUAUGAAAUUGUUCACACUUGAUUCCUCUGUUGCUUAGGUUGCUCUAAAUUAUUUACUACUUCUUUUGAAUCCUCUGUUGCUUAGUUGUGCAGAAUCAGGAAUCAUUGCUGUGCUUGUGAACACUAUUUUUUUUAUUCGUUUUCUUUUACUGCCAAACUUGAACCUCAUUUUUGGUCCUUGGUGGUGCUUCCAAGUCAUUCAUAAAUGGCAUGAAAGAUUUGAGUGGCAUUUGGCCAUUUUAUUAUUUGUGUUUCAAAUGACGCUUUAAUCUUAAUUUCUUGAUCUAAUAAUACAAGUUGAGAAAUUGUGCUUUUGUGGAUUUCAAAAAUGAGAUUGUGGCAUCUCAACUGUCAAGCACAACGGCAACUAAAUGGGUAUUAUAAAUUGAAUCAUUUGCAUACUUUUCUUUUUUCUUUUUAAUUUCAAAUAUUGUAAUAAUUUGGCUUCAUAUUCUAAUAGAUAGCCUUGGUUUAUAGUAUUAUUGUUUGGCUUUUACAUUGAAGUAAUCUGUUCUGAUAUGUUUUUUAAUGGGUUCCUUAUGUUGCAACACUAUAUAGAAAAUACAUAUAAAUAAAUAAAGCAUCUUCAAUUCUAUAUUGACAUGUGCCUUGGAUCAUGCGCCUUUUUUUUGCAUUUUGUUUUUCAAAAACAACACUCAUCUUCUUCCCUCUAAAUUCCUCAUAAAGGUGCAAAACAAAACGUCAUCAGCUUUGGAAACCCUAGCGUGAGGCAACAUCAAGUGUAGCAAUGGUUGAUGUCCAUAAGUUGAUUUGCCAAACCUGUAACAACGUGGGUGUUGGUGAUGGUUCUGAUGGCUUUUUCUACUGCCUUCGCUGUGGUUCUCAAUGCGAGGAUGUGAUGGACACCGCUGUUGAUGACGAUGAUCUCUUCAACAAGAGUGCUGUCUACUUGCCUAGUCACCAACGCCAGCGAUCUGUUGCAAUCAAAGCCGAGCCCAUCUCUCAGUAUGACUCCUUUUACGAUUCCCACUCCAAUUUCAUUAGGAAUCUGGGUUUAGAAGAUGAAAAUCCUCAACGAAAUGAUCAUGUUCAAGUUAAAAGAGAGGAGGAAUUUGACGCUGCCCAGUUUGAUGAGGCAAGUCCUUCUGUUCCUGCUGAUUUUGGUGGCUCCCAAGUUGCAUGCUUUGAAGACUACCACAAUGAGAUAAGGAUGCGGUAUGUGAUGGGGUUGCAGAUGAUGAUUGAGCUUCAGUGUGAAGCGCUGGUGAAGGAGUUUAAGGUGACCCCUUUAAUUUGUGGCUUGGUUGGCCCAAUUUGGUUGAGGUUUGUCUCCAAGACUGGCAUUUUCGGUGAUGACUGGGCUGAUAAAGUAAUCCAUGACUCUGAAACGCAGAAUGAAGGUAAAAUGAUGUUUUAUCUCUUAUAUUUCUACAUUUAAAUUACAAUACAUGUACCCUUUUUUGUUGCAUGGUUUGGUUCUUUAUGUUCCAGUCAAUUUCUCAAUGUACUUGUCAAUGCUUAUUUGUGGUUCAGGAUUGACCAUAAAGUUCCAAUUCUUGCUUUAUUUGCUUGUGACAUAUUUGGGGCAUUACUUGUCUUGUUCAUCAAAGGUUCACUAAUGCUUUCUGUUUGUAUUAAAAGUUCACGAAACCUUAUAAUUAACUGAAAAAUUUACUCAUUAGCAUAUUGUAUAUGAUUAGUUGCAACUCAAUUUGGUUCAUUAAGCUUGGAUUUGACCCCUUAAUUAUCAAAUGUAUUGUAAUAGCAGCAAGAUAAGAGGAUUAGCUUGUUAAUGAAGUGUGUACUAUAGUUUUUCAACAGUUGGAAGAUACUUACCAUAUUUCCAUCAAGCCUAUCUAAUAGUUUAUUUCUGCAUUGUUCUCAGAUGAACCAGAAGAUUACAAGUUACGUGCUAAAUACAGAACAGAGCCCCACAAUAUGUUUGGCAAGCGAGCUGUCAUGAUAUGGUUUAGGUCUUUAAAGAAAAGGAUUCCACUACCUUGUACUGUUGCUGUUUCAUUUCUGGCAUGUCAUGUAGCCAGGGAAGCUGUCCUGCCAUCUGACAUGAUGAAGUGGACACUUGAAGGGAAGCUUCCAUAUUUUUCUGCUUUUGUUGAAAUUGAAAAGCGCAUGGGACAACCAACAAGUGCAUGUCCUAUUAGUUCAAGUGUUAUGUUCAGGCCCCAACAAGCUAUUCCAGUACAGAAGCUAGAGUCAUUUGCUGCAUCCAUUGCUCAGUUCAUAGGCUUGGAGUUACCUCCCGUGAACUUUUAUGCUAUAGCUUAUCUUUUUCUUCAAAAGUUAUCACUGCCUGUUGAAAAGAUUCUUCCUUAUGCAUGCCGCAUAUAUGAAUGGUCGAUGCCUCCUGAUUUGUGGUUAUCCUUAUCCAGUAAUUAUUUUAGGCUACCUACUCAUGUAUGCGUUAUGUCAAUUCUGGUAGUAGCAAUAAGGAUAUUGUAUAACAUAAAUGGCUUUGGAGAGUGGGAGAAGAGUUUGUCUCGUGAUGAUGAUGCCAAAGACAACAGUGAAAUGGGUAAUGCUUUUGCCUCUGAUAAUGGACAUGAUUUUGGUAAAGAAUCUAAAGAUUCAGCUGAAGAUCAAGUAGGAUCUCAGAAACACGAAUUGGAUUCUGCCUGGCUUCUCCAACAUCUUCAAGCAAGAUAUAAUGAGAUUGCAGAUACCUAUGGUGAAGUUUUUGUUUACUUAUAUUAUUAUAUUUAACCAAACCUAUGUUGCACGAGUUGAUAUUCUAUUUUCGUCCUAUUUUUUACAACAAUUAAAUGACUAUCUAACAUCCAGUAUUUAUGGACAGGGUAUUCAAAGGACUUGGCUACAUAUCUCAAAUACUGUAGGGAUGUUGUCUUUGCUGGAUCAGAACCAUCUUAUGGUAAUCACGAGGAAGAAAAAAUGAUAGAAUACCUAUGGAAAUUUUAUCAGAAUGAAGAGGUAAUUAAAGAAUUGAGCUAGUUAUUCUAUUGAUAUGCACAGGCCUUUAGAAUUAGGAUGUCUUGGAAUUACUUUCAAGUUUAAACUUCUUUUUUUCUUCUUAUUUCCUGGGAUAUGUUAAGAAAGAAGUAGCGCCUCUGCCUGUGCUCUUUUGUCUAUGGGACAUGGCUCGGCUGUUCAUGAUUUUCAAUUUCUUUCCCAGUGAAGCUUGGAAAAUAAAUUGGCUACAUCACUGUUUCCUAAAGUAAAGGACGUCGAAAUUCAAGAAAAAUAUCAUGAAUGAACUAUUGUCCCCACGGACUUAUUUCCUCAGAUCAAAUUUGUACAAAAUAGAAUAAAGAGAAGAAUUUAUUUUCUUUUUCCUGCGGAAAUGAAGGGACUCAAUCUAGUGCCAGCCAUUUAUCUAUCUUUAAAUUUCUCUAAAAACUUUUGUUUUGAUGAAAGUGAUUGAGAGAAAUUUCUAGAAGAUGGCAUGUUGCUUGUUACUUUUACAUAUUGUUAUUAUUAUUUGAAUACAUUUACUUGGUUCAACAAUCAAAAUUACGACAUACCUGAUUCCUGUAAGUAAUGCUCAUAUAUUCAUGGGUCAACUGAUAUGUCACUGCUAGUACCUUCACUCACUGAAGGUUUGUUGUGCUCUAACGAUAUGUAAUUGGAAUCAGUGAAGGGCUGUACAUUCAUAUUCUCUUAAUGAAAUCUUGUAGUUAUAGAUGCUCAUAUAGUGAGUGCAGAAUUUAUGGAGAUAACAUUAAUGAAGAUCUCCUACAUGAAUAUUUUCCUCCAAAUAUUAUGGUUAUAUAUAUAAAAAAUUGUAUUCCAUCAUCUCCUAAAUGUUAUAUGUUGGGCAGAUUUUAUUAAAUAAAAAUAUUUUUUUGUCUAUCUGCCUUGGUAUGUCUAGUUUCCGGGAGUUGUUUUUGUUGUCUGAGUACAUCAUGAAGAAUGUCUGUCAAAAUGUGUUGUAUAACACUUUCUCCUUUUUCUGUUUUAGGAUACAAAACCAUCAGAAAAUGUAGAGCAGUCAAAUACUUCUUUCAACCAAACGAGUUCCAGGGAUAAAGGAUGCAUUGGCAAGAUAUCCAAGGAGGAAAAGAUUAGAAAAAAAGGUUUUAAUGAACUCUUUCCUGAUGAUGACACCAGCCUUGAAGAUGUGAGCAACAAUAAUUCCCAUGAGAGUUUGUCAGACAGUGAAGACUCAGAUUCCCAAGAGCACAGUUCAGGAAAAUCUCAUGUCAAGGAAGCCAUUAGACAGAUGAAAUUAGAGAUGGAGGAGAACAGAUUUUAUUAUAUACCACCUAGUGUCAAGCGAAAAAGACUUGAUUAUAUUCACUAUGUGAGAAAGAGGGACGAAGGUGCGCUGACUUAUGUUGCUCAUGCUGAUUAUUACAUUUUGCUUCGGGCUUGUGCCAGGAUUGCACAAGUUGACAUUCGGAUUUUGCAUAUUGGUGUGUUGAGACUUGAGAGAAGACUUGCUUGGUUGGAAAAACGGAUUGAUCAAUGCUUACAUUCCAAACCAACUAGCAUUUCUUGUCAAUUUUGUUGUAAUAAGGCCACGGAAAAUGGAUCUGAUGGUCUUCCUGGAUUAUCAAAUUUGAAUAUUUGAGAAUUGAUAGUUUAACUUUAAGAAAUAGUAGAAUGGAGGAAGGAUGCUCCGAUUCCUUCUUUUUUUUUUCUUUUGAUUUUCAAUUAUUCAUACAAGAAUAAAUAUUAGGAAUAAGAUAAGAGGAUGAGAACCAAAGAAAAAUUAAAAAGGAUGAAACGACACUUGGUUUUUCAUAAUCAAUAAAUAUUUAGGUUAAUGAAAGUGUAGGGAGUUUCUUAUUGAGGACUAAUGGAGGUGUGUGUUUGAGUUUCAUCUGAUUGGGCAAGCUUCAUUGCCUUUUCGAGUUGCAAAUUAAAACCGGUGUCCUUCUGUCAAUUACGAUAUACAUUAUACAAUGACUUGGAAAGUAGAAUCGUUCAUUGACUUUCCAUGCUUGUCUCCAUUUCCGAGCAAUGUUGCUUGUCAGAGUUUCUGAUAAUAACAUGCUGCUUAUGGAUUCUCACAUGGGAAUUAGUAGUUUUUACUUGAGUUGGUUUAUGCAGUCACUUAGGAGGUUCUGUUGGAGUUAUUUAUUGAUCAAUUUAGCCUACAUAAUUGUCCUUCUUGGCAUAAUGCCAAAUUGAUUCUUUAUUAUGCGGGUCCCUUGUCUUAAUCUACUUUAAUCAAAACGUUUCCUUUAGAUUUUCAGUCACUAUUUGGAUGCCAAAAAAUUCAACUAGUUCUCCAUUUCAUCUAUUCUGAAAGCUACUUAAAACAAGAAUUGUAAAUAUAUUUUUAUGAAUUUUGAUACAAGUGUUGGUAGUAUUUCUAAUGCUAAUAUUUCGAAAGGAAAGUCUAACAUUACCUAGGUGAAGAGCCCUUGAAGUUUUAACACUUAUUUUUGGCUUGUAAGAACUUGCAGAGGAUUGAGCUUGUGUGCAUAAGUUCGGUCGAAGGGUGCCACAUUUGCACUCCAUUGCAUUUGCACCCGUCUCAGUGUUAACUUUCUCUGUUUUUUUCAUUCAUGUUCCAUAUCAAAUUAAUUAUGAUCUGUUAUAAAUCUCGUAAUUUUUGCUUAUUUGACAUUUUUGUUUCUGUUGCUUGUUAGAACUUGGAAGCUUUAUUUGAUAAAUUCUCACAGUGAAUAUUGUGUGAAGCAUAAUGUACCAAAAACAAAGUGUAUACUGUAUGAAGCAUUGUGUGAAUACUGAAGCAUUUUUUAGUACUUGUUUUCUGACUUGACUUGAUAUCAUUCAAUCAAUUGCAGGCUUGCCAUUAGCAGAUGCUCCAAAAAAAAUUAGUGGAGUUCAAAAGCGCUAUUGGAGAUACCUACCAAAUGUAGUAAAAGCAUUAGAAAGUUCAACAAACUUAACUAGUGCAGUAAACAGUGACUUUGGAUUUUUAGGUCAUGGACAUUAUCCCAUCCAUGCCUUUUCAAUUUGGCUUAGUUGUUUUCAACCAUGGUAUCAUUUUUUAGUCGAUCAUGUAAUAUUCCUUACGCAUUCAUACAAGGAGCUGAAUUCAGUUUCUUUCUUUUAGAUUUUUAAUUAAAUAAAUGAACUCUCGACCAUGAAACGUGCUUUGAGGGAGUAAUCUGGAUGGAUUUGGUUCUUACUUUCUUUGUGUUUGUCUUUGACCUAUUUUAUAUCCAUUCUAGUAAAUAACUAAAUCUAUAUAUUUAACAGGUUAGUUAUCAGUUGGUGUUUUGAUUGUAGAUAUGUACUUUGUGAAUGAACACAAUUUGGUAUCCAUAUCUUUCAGUGAUGCUCAUUUAAAUUCAUCUACGUACAUGAUCAAAAGUGCUUCUGUGAAGCUACAAAAAUAGUGAUCAAGAGACUGUACAUGCUAGCACAUGAAGAAAAAAUAGUGACACCUUGACUUUAUAAUAUGCUGAACCUGCAGUGCUUCGUUGAUCAGUUUCAGUUCACCUGAUAUGGGUUCACUAAUGCAACAGACACAAGGCCAACACAAGUCUUGUACUAUUGUCCUAAUUGGGUAUGAGUUGGGUAGUAAAAGUAUAUGUACUAGUGAUUGUCAUAAUAAAUAAAUAUCGACAACAUAAAAUUGUCUUAGAAGAGCUUCUCAGCAAUACCAAAUUCAACCAGCAAAUACUCCAAUGGAUCAUGCUGCUAUAUUCCUCCCAAAGAUCAUUUAAUGGGUUUUUUCAAUUUCAACACAUUUUUUAAUGGGUUUUUUCAUUGAUUGCCGAGAUUCAACCAUGUUUGUUAUAUAUUGAGACAUAAUCAAUCAAGUACACCACUCACAGCAGAAGGUUUAUAAGCUGUAAAGGUACAUGUAACCAUAAACAAAAAUAGUCUCCAAGACUAUAAAAACAUUACAUUUUAGACAAAUUAGUCUUCUUCCACUUCAUCCUCCGUCAACACCUACUAUAACUGCUGGUGUUGCUGCUGCCUAACAUGUAUCAUAUUCACUACAUACAUCUUAGUAGGAGUAGCCUUUGACGAACAACUCCUUCUUGGCUUCCUCGGAUUCACCCUCACCGGUGUACUUCCCAAGCUGGGCGAGCGAGUUGGACUUGGCACGGAAAAGGAGUGCAUCUUGUGCCGCCUUCACGUUCUCUGGGCGGCCUCCCCAUGUCUUCAAGGCAGUGUUUUGGAGGGCUCUGGCAUACGAGAACGACACGUGCCACGGGUUUGGAGAUUGGUUCAUGGCAUUCAAGUUGAGGGUAGCUUCAACCUCAGACUGUCCACCAGACAAAAACUGCAUAGCACAGGAUUGGUUAAUUAGCACAUGAAAGGGAGGGAAGUUAGGAAUGCAAAGAAUGAUGAUGCAUUUGGCAUUACCAUAAUUCCAGGGACAGCAGGGGGAAUUCUCCUGUGAAGGAGCUUGAGGGUGUAAUCAGCAACUGUCUGAGGACUGGCCUUGUCCUUGGACUCAGCUCCAGGUGUAACCAUGCUAGGCUUAAGAAGAAUACCCUCAAAAAGGACAUUGUUCUCAGCAAGGUAGAAGAAAACCUCUGCCCAGACCUUUUUUGCUACUUCAAAAGUUCUGUCAAUACCAUGCUCCCCAUCAAGCAAGAUCUCUGGUUCCACAAUUGGGACCAAUCCAUUGUCCUAAAACAACCAUAAGAUGAAAACAUUAGAAAUUUAUAGGUCCUCUUCCUAGGUUUAUAUAAAAAAAAGUAUCCUACCACACAUCACCUAUGAAUAGAAGUGUAACAAAAAAUAAAAUCAUUAAUAUAACUUAAGUGCUAUUUCUCACCUGAGCAAUUGCUGCAUAGCGAGCCAGACCCCAGGCAGCUUCCUUAACUGCCAGAGCAGAGGGACCGUUGGGGAUGCUCACAACAGUACGCCUGAUAUGGAAUUGGGGAUUGGUAUAAUAUGAUGAAAAAGAUGAGCAAGAAGUACAGCACAAGAAAAGGAGGGCAUGGAAUUAUGAAAAUGAUUUUGCUGCCACCACAAAGGGGGGGAAGUUAGCACUCACCAUUUGGCGAAACGGGCACCUUGCUGGUAGUAUGCAGCCGAGCGAGAGGCAAGACCAUCAAGACCUUGGCACCAUGACUCGUCGUUGGAACCAGCAAGGGGUACCAAACCCUGUUGUUCUCGACACAUAAACCACACAUUAGUGCAUACAAUGUUAUACAUAUUCAAAUUCUCCCUUUUGAGUUUAACUUCAAAAUUUUCACUAUUAUAGACUACAAAAAGCUAAUCUCCAGUAUGUUACAACUAACUAGUGUUUAUGUGAGGCAUGUGACAUCUUUCCAUAUGGCCACUCUAACAAAUAUCUGGAUGAUUGAUAGUACAAUUAAACAUAAGUACAUAUCAUAUUGGCAUCAAAACUAGUGCUUAUUCUUUUCCAUUAUCAUUUCAGGCAUGGCACAGACUGAAAUGGCAUUUAACUACAUAGAAAGGAAAGGGAAGGAUAGGGUGACUCCUAAAUCCAAAAGGCUUACCUUGUCGACUUUAAUACCGGGAACAAUGUUUUGCUCGAGGAGCACGUCGACAAUCUUCCUGCCAUCAGUUGUGGAUUGGUAGAGAGUUUCCUCAAAGAGAAUGGCACCAGAGAUGUACUGACCAAGUCCUGGAACUGUCACAAGGAGGGUACGGUAUGCCUGGCGGUUAGCUUCAGUGUUCUCUAGCCCAAUUGAAGCCAAACGCUUCCCACAGGUAGCAUUGGACUCAUCCAUGGCCAAAAUACCCCUCCCUGGUGAAGCCACUGUUUUCUGUUUCCACACAAACAAGCAAGAAAACGCACAGCAAAAUAUUAUUGCAUCAACAAUGUGAAAACCAUUACUUAGGGGGCAAACUAGGACAGCAAAGAUUUAUUUGGCUUCUAAGAUAAAGAGAACAUACUUCAGCGAAUAAAGUGUGGUUAUAAUUGAUGAUUAGAAAAUUUUCAUAAUCACUACUUAUGCAUGUAUUUAAUCAUAAUCUCAAUUGUGACAAUUAUAACUACACUUUAUCCUCUAAAUUUUUACAAAGCCAAUGUGAAAACAAAAAUAACUCAGCAGCGCUAAGAAGAAAAUGGAUUAUGGGUGUGAAAUGAAUAGUUCAAUUAAGUUUUGUUACAAGAAACUUUUAAUAUUUGAAUCUUAAAAACUUUUCCAUAAGUACUUGAGAAGCUAAAUUGAACAUAUUCAGUUUCUCUAUAAGCUAAAAUGAACUUAUGCUUGCUUGUUAACUUUUGAAGAAAUUAAAUGGGAAAGCCUAAUAUGUAUAAAAGUUAAGUGCAUUAUUAUUAUCAUACCGCGGUCUUAACGAGCUCAUCAGCAUAGGAACCAGCUCUGAUGGUGAGGCCUGAUGGGGUGGUGGGGUUGCAUCUCACAACUGAUGCAGCAGAAGGUUGGCGAAGUGUUUGUCCCUUCACCCACUCAGACUUGUCAAGAACAAGUGAAGACUUGAGAAGAGAUGCUGAUGCAGAGGCCAUUGUUCACUGCAGGU